rnacentral:rRNA from 1 species
AUUGAACGCUGGCGGCAGGCCUAACACAUGCAAGUCGAGCGGAGCGGCGGACGAGUGAGUAAUGCCUAGGAAGCUGCCUGUUAGUGGGGUAUAACGUCCGGAGACGGGCGCUAAUGCCGCAUGCUUGCAGGUGGCCCUAGGUGGGAUUAGCUAGUUGGGGGGGUAAUGGCCUACCAAGGCGAUGAUCCGUAACUGGGCUGAGAGGAUGAUCAGUCACACUGGAACUGAGACACGGUCCAGACUCCUACGGGAGGCAGCAGUAGGGAAUAUUGGACAAUGGGCGAAAGCCUGACCGAGCCACGCCGCGUGUGUGAAGAAGGUUUUCGGAUUGUAAAGCACUUUUAGUUGGGAAGCGGUAUCAACAGAAUAAGCAACGGCUAACUUCGUGCCAGCAGCCGCGGUAAUUC